rfam:Triticum aestivum genome assembly, contig: Triticum_aestivum_CS42_TGACv1_scaffold_093234_2AL
GUGUUCGUAAAAAGGAGAGACGGUUGGCAUCUCCCCUGACAGAAACCUAGCACACUGCGGUUAAGGCUACCCGCUUCGGCGGAUCUAACCCAAUUUUUUU